CCCUCAACAGACCAACCCUGGUCCUCCAGUACAUCCUCAACAGACCAACCCUGGUCCUCCAGUACAUCCUCAACAGACCAACCCUGGUCCUCCAGUACAUCCUCAACAGACCAACCCUGGUCCUCCAGUACAUCCUCAACAGACCAACCCUGGUCCUCCAGUACAUCCUCAACAGACCAACCCUGGUCCUCCAGUACAUCCUCAACAGACCAACCCUGGUCCUCCAGUACAUCCUCAACAGACCAACCCUGGUCCUCCAGUACAUCCUCAACAGACCAACCCUGGUCCUCCAGUACAUCCUCAACAGACCAACCCUGGUCCUCCAGUACAUCCUCAACAGACCAACCCUGGUCCUCCAGUACAUCCUCAACAGACCAACCCUGGUCCUCCAGUACAUCCUCAACAGACCAACCCUGGUCCUCCAGUACAUCCUCAACAGACCAACCCUGGUCCUCCAGUACAUCCUCAACAGACCAACCCUGGUCCUCUAGUACCCCCACGACAGACCAACCCUGGUCCUCCAGUACAUCCUCAACAGACCAACCCUGGUCCUCCAGUACAUCCUCAACAGACCAACCCUGGUCCUCCAG